AUGGCGGUGGCGGAGGCGAGGACGCCCAGGCGGCGCCACGGGAGCAUGGCGCUCGCCGACCUGCUGCUGCGGGAGGCGUCGGCGGAGCGGGCCGAUGCGGCGGGGGGCGAGCGGCCCGGGGUCGCGGCGGGCCAGGCCGCGCGGGCCAGGAAGGGCGAGGACUACGCGCUGCUCAAGCAGGGCUGCGAGCGCCACCCGGGCGCAUCCUUCUCCGCAUUCGCCAUGUUCGACGGCCACAACGGGGCCGCCGCCGCGGUGUACGCCAAGGAGAGGCUCCUCGCCAAUGUGCUCGGCUGCGUCCCCGCCCACCUCACCAGGGACGAGUGGCUCGCCGCGCUGCCCAGGGCGCUCGUCGCCGGCUUCGUCAAGACCGACAAAGAUUUCCAGACAAGAGCACACUCUUCGGGGACAACCGUCACGCUCGUCAUAAUCGACGGCUCCGUUGUGACUGCCGCAUCUGUCGGUGAUUCUCGAUGUGUUCUUGAAGCAGAGGGUUCGAUUUACUACUUGUCGGCUGAUCAUCGUUUUGAUGCUAGCGGGGAGGAAGUUGGACGUGUAACAGAAUGUGGAGGUGAAGUUGGCAGACUAAAUAUUGUUGGUGGAGCUGAGAUUGGCCCCCUUAGAUGUUGGCCAGGAGGUUUAUGCCUAUCAAGAUCAAUUGGCGAUCAGGACGUUGGUGAAUUUAUCAUUCCUGUUCCUUUUGUGAAGCAGAUCAAGCUAUCUAGUGCUGGAGGUCGUCUAAUUAUUUCAAGUGACGGUGUUUGGGAUGCCUUGACUGCGGAAAUGGCUUUUAGUUGCGCACGAGGUCUUCCUCCAGAGGCUGCAGCGGAUCAAAUUGUCAAAGAAGCAGUGGAUGCAAAAGGAUUAAGGGAUGAUACAACUUGUAUUGUUAUUGACAUAAUACCGCCAGAAAAACCAAAAUCCACUAUACAUUCUCGAAAGAAGGCACGGAAUGGCUUUAGUCUUUUGAAAAAUAUAUUCAUCAGAAAAAGAACAUCAGACACAUUAUCGCGUGCUGAUACGGAGCGUACUUCUGAGCCCGACUUGGUGGAGGAAGUCUUUGAGGAUGGAUGCCCAUCUCUGCUAAGAUGGCUAGACUCUGAGUAUCCAGUUCGAAAUAUGUUCAAGCUCUUUGUAUGUGCAAUUUGUCAAGUAGAGUUAGAGUCUGGUCAGGGGAUAUCGAUACACGAGGGUUUGUCAAAGCCAGGAAAGGUGUGCCCCUGGGAUGGUCCGUUCCUUUGUCAUAGUUGCCAGGAAAAGAAAGAAGCAAUGGAGGGAAAGCGGCCCUCACGCGUGGGUCAAGCGAGUAGUGACCAAGGGCAAGAGUCAUCUUGA
rnacentral:rRNA from 1 species